AUGAACGCUAGCUACAGGCUUAACACAUGCAAGUCGAGGGGCAUCAGGAAGAAAGCUUGCUUUCUUUGCUGGCGACCGGCGCACGGGUGAGUAACACGUAUCCAACCUGCCCUUUACUCGGGGAUAGCCUUUCGAAAGAAAGAUUAAUACCCGAUAGCAUAAUGAUUCCGCAUGGUUUCAUUAUUAAAGGAUUCCGGUAAAGGAUGGGGAUGCGUUCCAUUAGGUUGUUGGUGAGGUAACGGCUCACCAAGCCUUCGAUGGAUAGGGGUUCUGAGAGGAAGGUCCCCCACAUUGGAACUGAGACACGGUCCAAACUCCUACGGGAGGCAGCAGUGAGGAAUAUUGGUCAAUGGGCGCUAGCCUGAACCAGCCAAGUAGCGUGAAGGAUGAAGGCUCUAUGGGUCGUAAACUUCUUUUAUAUAAGAAUAAAGUGCAGUAUGUAUACUGUUUUGUAUGUAUUAUAUGAAUAAGGAUCGGCUAACUCCGUGCCAGCAGCCGCGGUAAUACGGAGGAUCCGAGCGUUAUCCGGAUUUAUUGGGUUUAAAGGGAGCGUAGGUGGACUGGUAAGUCAGUUGUGAAAGUUUGCGGCUCAACCGUAAAAUUGCAGUUGAUACUGUCAGUCUUGAGUACAGUAGAGGUGGGCGGAAUUCGUGGUGUAGCGGUGAAAUGCUUAGAUAUCACGAAGAACUCCGAUUGCGAAGGCAGCUCACUGGACUGCAACUGACACUGAUGCUCGAAAGUGUGGGUAUCAAACAGGAUUAGAUACCCUGGUAGUCCACACAGUAAACGAUGAAUACUCGCUGUUUGCGAUAUACAGUAAGCGGCCAAGCGAAAGCAUUAAGUAUUCCACCUGGGGAGUACGACCGCAAGGUUGAAACUCAAAGGAAUUGACGGGGGCCCGCACAAGCGGUGGAGUAUGUGGUUUAAUUCGAAGCAACGCGAAGAACCUUACCAGGCCUUGACAUCCCUUGCUGAGGUAUAGAGAUAUAUCCGAGGUUAUCAAGGAGACAGGUGGUGCAUGGUUGUCGUCAGCUCGUGUCGUGAGAUGUUGGGUUAAGUCCCGCAACGAGCGCAACCCUUAUCUUCAGUAGCCAGCGGUAAGGCCGGGCACUCUGGAGAGACUGCCAGGGAUAACCUGGAGGAAGGUGGGGAUGACGUCAAAUCAUCAUGCCCCUUAUGGCCUGGGCUACACACGUACUACAAUGGCGUCUACAAAGAGCGGCAAGCCUGUGAAGGCAAGCGAAUCUCAUAAAGGACGUCUCAGUUCGGAUUGAAGUCUGCAACCCGACUUCAUGAAGCUGGAAUCGCUAGUAAUCGCGGAUCAGAAUGCCGCGGUGAAUACGUUCCCGGGCCUUGUACACACCGCCCGUCACACCAUGAGAGUCGGGAAUACCCGAAGCCUGUGAGCCAACAUAUUUAUAUGAGGCAGCAGUCGAAGGUAGAAUCGAUGAUUGGGGUG
rnacentral:rRNA from 1 species